CUCGGAUUGAUCAAACACAAUCCGGUGAAAGGUCGGGGUUGAUCAAACACAACCCGGACAAAGAAACAAGAGUGAUCCAACAUACUCUUGACCCGCGAAUAAAAUUCCGGGAUUUUGGUACCUGCACACAUAAAAUCCCAAGCAUAGAAUGGAGAUGGGGAAGGGAGGAAAGGGAUUUUAAUCCUCCCCGAGUUAUUGAACUUGGAAGAGUUUAAGGUUUCAAAACAUACCUUUCUAAAGGCUGCCAAGAGGAGAAAUAACGUUUCGCCUACUUAUACUUCGAAUUUGGGGCUGAAAAUUUGACAGGAGGAGCAGCUCUGGAUGGGGAAGCUUCUGUCAAAAUUUCAGGUUGAUCGGAGCAAGGGAAGGUGGUGAACCGGUGGUCGGUAGCGGCGGCGGUCUGGAAUUUUCCGGCGGCCGGUUCGGAGACUUUCCGGCCGGUUCUCAGGGUGAGGCCGGCGGCGUUGGAUCCGUGACGGAAAGAGCUUUCUGGGGAUAUAAAAUUCCGGCGGAGGGCAGUCGGAAUUUUGGUCGGAAAUCGGGAAAAACAAGGCUGCCCGAUUUUAGGGUUUUGGUUUUUAGGGUUUGGAAAAAAAAUGGUGGGCUAUUGGCUCUAGGGUUAGAACAAAGUGCAUGAUAACGUGAUGAAGGAUUAAUGGUAGAGACAAAGAGAUAGCAAGAGAAUCAUCUUAUUCAUUGAUAGGAGCCCUUUAUAUAGGGAAUUACACAAUACUAAUAUGGUAAGGAUAUGAAUACAUAGAUCUAGUCUAACUACAUAUCC
rnacentral:lncRNA from 1 species